CAAAUGGCGAGCAUUCGUGCUGAUUAGAUAUUAUUGUGUGUGAAUCAAAAAGUUUGAUUUUGUUGUAUGUAUCGUGAAUAAUAAUAUUAAAACCCUUAUUUAAGCAUUGUUGUGGCUGAAUGAAGAUAUAAUUGUUUUAAAUUAUAUUAUUUGUCAGAUAUUUGGAGUGAUAUAUACCGAUCUUGAAAGUACUGAGUGUGUUUAGUAGAUCGAUACACCAUGUCAACAGAAUAUGUGCAAGUUGCUGAAGAAGAAUGCGAGGAACCAAUAGAAUUACCUUUGGAGGACGAUGGUACUCUACUGUUAUCUACUUUAACAGGACAGUUUCCUGGAGCCUCAGGUUUGAAGUAUCGCAAUCCUGGUUCUAAAUCUAUGCGUGGAGUCAGGCUCGCUGAUGGAAGGAUGCAUCCACCAACAUUACAAGGAUGGAAAGAUGAGAUAUUUUUCUGUGUUUUUCCAAAAGAAAACAAGCGUAAAUCUGAUGACACUUUAGAAAAUUCUACAGCAAAAACAAAACGUAUGGAAACAAGAUUACGUUGCACUGACUUAAUUGUUUUGGGUCUCCCAUGGAAAACUACUGAACAAGAUUUAAGAGAGUAUUUUGAAACUUUUGGAGAAGUAUUGAUGGCUCAAGUUAAGAAAGAUACUAAGACGGGACAAUCAAAAGGAUUUGGAUUCGUAAGAGUUGGUUCUUAUGAAGCUCAAAUGAAAGUUUUAUCACAGAGACACAUGAUUGAUGGCAGAUGGUGUGAUGUGAGGGUUCCUAAUUCCAAGGAGGGUAUGGUUCAACAAAUGCCUUGUAAAGUAUUUGUGGGAAGGUGCACAGAAGAUUUAAGCGCAGAAGAUCUUCGUGAAUAUUUCUCGAAGUUUGGUGAAGUAACUGAUGUAUUUAUUCCUCGUCCGUUCAGGGCAUUCAGUUUUGUUACAUUCCUGGACCCAGAAGUUGCUCAAAGUUUGUGUGGGGAGGACCAUAUUGUUAAGGGUGUUUCUGUGCAUGUGUCGAAUGCGGCUCCAAAAUCCGACCAAAAUAGAAAUCAAAAUAAUUCCAGAAGUAAUAUGAACAUGAACCAGUAUAGUGGAGGACCUAAUAACCGAGGAGGCUACAUGAGUAAUGGAAUGGGACAACCGGCCAAUGUUUGGGCUAAUAACGGAGGAGGAUCUCAUCAAGGACGUGGCAAUAUAGAUAUGCCGAAUUUGCAGACUCUUGGAAUAAAUCCACAAGGACAAAACAAUGGUGGAGGUGGCGGUGGACAAAAUCUUGGAAAUAUGGUUGCCCCUGUUUACGAUUACAGGUAUGGCAGCCCUGAGUGCGCUCCCUAUGAAUCCCGCUCUGGUCGCAGCCGCUCUCAACCAAGCCGGAUGGGGCCUUAUUGGCAACCUUCAGCAGCAGCAGGGUACGACAGGUGGACCUCAGCAGGGGGGAACUACGGCUACAGGAGCGGAUCAGGGCUUCGCGGGCCCGAGCGGCGCGGGACCAGUGAGUACACAUGGAACGCAGGGCCACCAUCCGCAUCAACACCAGGGUCAACAGCAAACUCCGGGUGGCAAUUUUCUGAAUUGGAUGUCCCAACAGUCGGGUGGUAACCAACAGAGAACUAAUCAAUCUUGGCCACCACAAAUUGCAGCACAGGGACCUGACCCAAAUAAAUCCUCUUUCAAGUAUGAGUAAUCAGUUUGUCAAUGGAAUCACAGAACAACAAUUCGGUAGGUUUAUUAAAUCUAAGAAUAGUUAUUUAAACUAAACUCUUUAAUUAAUAUUUAUGAUAUUACAAAUUUAAAUUGACUUUUUUAAAAUUAUGUAUAUGUAUUAUCAAAUGACGUGCGAACUACCAGGUAU